GCCACCAUAUACUUCAAUCAAUUUACGCAAAUACAAAUUCAUUGAAGACAGAGUGAGGUGUACAACUUUAUUAUAGUGUUUCUCGUUUCAUACAUAUAAAAUAAUAUCUGGCACUUCAAACAACAAAUAGAUCUGCUAAAUUAUUAUCUGAAAAUACACUCUUGCAAUGCUCAAACAAUGACUUAGCAGGUAAUGCUAGUAAUUAUGAUGAGUUAAGUUUAGAACUUAGUACAUCCAAUAUAGAUUUUAUUUAUCUAACUGCCAUGAACCCAUCAAAAUCAACAAGGUCUAAAUACUAACAGAUAAUAUAAAUCUAAGCAUGAUUAGAUAUAUAAGUUGAUAGUAUUGGUAACAUGCAGUGCAACAUACAUCAUCAAGUCUAUUUCAUAAGCAAAGUAUCGC